GAUGAACGCUGGCGGCGUGCCUAAUACAUGCAAGUCGAGCGAACGGACGAGAAGCUUGCUUCUCUGAUGUUAGCGGCGGACGGGUGAGUAACACGUGGAUAACCUACCUAUAAGACUGGGAUACUUCGGGAAACCGGAGCUAAUACCGGAUGAUAUUUUGAACCGCAUGGUUCAAAAGUGAAAGACGGUCUUGCUGUCACUUAUAGAUGGAUCCGCGCUGCAUUAGCUAGUUGGUAAGGUAACGGCUUACCAAGGCAACGAUGCAUAGCCGACCUGAGAGGGUGAUCGGCCACACUGGAACUGAGACACGGUCCAGACUCCUACGGGAGGCAGCAGUAGGGAAUCUUCCGCAAUGGGCGAAAGCCUGACGGAGCAACGCCGCGUGAGUGAUGAAGGUCUUCGGAUCGUAAAACUCUGUUAUUAGGGAAGAACAUAUUUGUAAGUAACUGUGCACAUCUUGACGGUACCUAAUCAGAAAGCCACGGCUAACUACGUG
rnacentral:rRNA from 1 species